rnacentral:rRNA from 1 species
UACGAAGGGGGCUAGCGUUGCUCGGAAUGACUGGGCGUAAAGGGCGCGUAGGCGGAUGGCACAGUCAGAUGUGAAAUUCCCGGGCUUAACCUGGGGGCUGCAUUUGAUACGUGUGAUCUAGAGUGAGGAAGAGGGUCGUGGAAUUCCCAGUGUAGAGGUGAAAUUCGUAGAUAUUGGGAAGAACACCGGUGGCGAAGGCGGCGACCUGGUCCUUGACUGACGCUGGAGGCGACGAAAGCGUGGGGAGCAAACAGG